rnacentral:rRNA from 1 species
AUUGAACGCUGGCGGCAGGCCUAACACAUGCAAGUCGAACGAGUGGCGGACGGGUGAGUACUGUCUGGGAAACUGCCCGAUGGAGGGGGAUCACUACUGGAAACGGUAGCUAAUACCGCAUACCCUCGGAUGUGCCCAUAUGGGAUUAGAUAGUAGGUGGGGUAACGGCUAACCUAGGCGACUAUCCCUAGCUGGUCUGAGAGGAUGACCAGCCACACUGGAACUGAGACACGGUCAAGACGCCUACGGGAGGAAGCAGUGGGGAAUAUUGCACAAUGGGCGGAAGCCUGAUGCAGCCAUGCCGCGUGUAUGAAGAAGGCCUUCGGGUUGUAAAGUACUUUCAGCGAGGAGGCGUUACUCGCAGAAGAAGCACCGGCUAACUCCGUGCCAGCAGCCGCGGUAAUAC